rnacentral:piRNA from 1 species
UGAGAAAUUUGCAGUCUCUGCUGAGUAACU